UACAGAGGGUGCGAGCGUUGUCCGGAAUCACUGGGCGUAAAGGGCGCGUAGGUGGCGAUCCAAGUCCAUGGUGAAAGCUCGAUGCUCAACAUCGAGUCGGCCACGGAUACUGGGUUGCUUGAGCACUGUAGGGGCAGAUGGAAUUCCGGGUGUAGCGGUGGAAUGCGUAGAGAUCCGGAAGAACACCGGUGGCGAAGGCGGCCUGCUGGGCAGUAGCUGACGCUGAGGCGCGACAGCGUGGGGAGCAAACAGG
rnacentral:rRNA from 1 species